GGGUAAAGCAGGGGACCUUCGGGCCUUGCGCUGAUGGAUGAGCUCGCGUCGGAUUAGCUUGUUGGUGAGGUAAAGGCUCACCAAGGCGACGAUCCGUAGCUGGUCUGAGAGGAUGAUCAGCCACACCGGGACUGAGACACGGCCCGGACUCCUACGGGAGGCAGCAGUGGGGAAUCUUGGACAAUGGGGGCAACCCUGAUCCAGCCAUGCCGCGUGUGUGAAGAAGGCCUUCGGGUUGUAAAGCACUUUCAGCAGGGAGGAAGGCUUACCCCUAAUACGGGUGAGUACUUGACGUUACCUGCAGAAGAAGCACCGGCUAAUUUCGUGCCAGCAGCCGCGGUAAUACGAAAGGUGCAAGCGUUAAUCGGAAUUACUGGGCGUAAAGCGCGCGUAGGCGGUGUGUUAAGUCGGAUGUGAAAGCCCAGGGCUCAACCUUGGAAUUGCAUCCGAUACUGGCACGCUAGAGUGCAGUAGAGGGAGGUGGAAUUUCCGGUGUAGCGGUGAAAUGCG
rnacentral:rRNA from 1 species